UGCACAUUAUGCAGAAUUUAUUUGAUUGUUGUUACAUAUUCACCUACUGCUGUCAAAUUUAAGGUGUUUUGUUUAUUUGAUUAACAGUUUUCUUGUUAAUUUUAGUCCAAUCAACUCAGCCUUCUACUGUUCCAUCUACACCUGAUACAGUCGUUUCAUCAACAUCUGCCACAGUUGGAAAGUUUAAGAGCUAUUUUUUUGUUCACUGUGUAUAGAUCCAAUGCCAAUUUCUAAUACUUU